GUCGAAGUGAAGAAGGGGGAUACCUCAAUUCAGCCUUCCUCCCAGUCGUCAGUUAAACCCAAAAAAUUGAAAAAUUUGAAUAGUGUCUCCAAGGAUGUUCCUGUUCAUGCCAAGGAAGCAACAACCUCUCUUUUAAAUGCAGCUUCCAAGCCAAAAGUCGAAGUGAAGAAGGGGGAUACCUCAAUUCAGCCUUCCUCCCAGUCGUCAGUUAAACCCAAAAAAUUGAAAAA